UCACAACUAAAUUAACACAAUUGAACAGAACAGACAGCAUAAAAAAAUAAAAUAAAAUAUUAAAUGUCUAGCAUUGUAACAAAAAUAUCUAAACAGAAUUAAAGCUAUUAAAAUUUAACAAGUAAACUAAACUUAAAAAAAAAAAAAAAAACAAUUCAUCCUGGAAAUGGCAUAAAGAAAUGCAUUGCAAUUAUUAAAAAAAUUGAAAUGUCCUCAAACACAUUUAAAGCUAAAUGAAAUUCACAUUUAGAAUGUAAAGCAAUGUUGAU
rnacentral:lncRNA from 1 species